CUACGGGCGGCUGCAGUCAAGAAUCUUCCUCAAUGGCCGAAAGGCUGAAGGAGCGACACCGCGUGCAGGAUGAAGGUUUUCGGAUCGUAAACUGCUUUUACCAGGGACGAAUUCGUGACGGUACCUGGUGAAUAAGAGGUUGCUAACUCUGUGCCAGCAGCAGCGGUAAUACAGAGACCUCAAGCGUUAUCCGGAUUUAUUGGGCGUAAAGCGUCCGCAGGUGGUCAAGCAAUUAUUGGGUCAAACCCUAACGCUUAACGUUAGGAUCGCCUGGUAAACUACUUGGCUAGAGACUGGAAGAGGUAAGCGGAAUUCUCGGUGUAGUCGUAAUAAGCGUUGAUAUCGAGAAGAACACCAAAUGCGAAGGCAGCUUACUGGUACAGUUCUGACACUCAGGGACGAAAGCGUGGGGAGCAAACAGGAUUAGAUACCCCAGUAGUC
rnacentral:rRNA from 1 species